rnacentral:rRNA from 1 species
UACGUAGGGUGCAAGCGUUGUCCGGAAUUAUUGGGCGUAAAGAGCUCGUAGGCGGUUUGUCGCGUCUGCUGUGAAAACUCGGGGCUUAACUCCGGGCCUGCAGUGGGUACGGGGCAGACUAGAGUGCGGUAGGGGAGACUGGAAUUCCUGGUGUAGCGGUGAAAUGCGCAGAUAUCAGGAGGAACACCGGUGGCGAAGGCGGGUCUCUGGACAGUUCCUGACACUGAGACACGAAGGCCAGGGGAGCAAACGGG